GACGAACCGUGCGGACGUUGUUCGGAAUCACUGGGCUUAAAGGGAGCGUAGGCGGGCUGCCAAGUCCGGGGUGAAAUCCUCCAGCUUAACUGGAGAACUGCCUCGGAUACUGGAAGUCUCGAGGAGGGUAGGGGCAAGUGGAACCGUGGGUGGAGCGGUGAAAUGCGUUGAUAUCCAUGGGAACUCCGGUGGCGAAGGCGAACUUGCUGGACCCUUUCUGACGCUGAGGCUCGAAAGCCAGGGGAGCAAACGGG
rnacentral:rRNA from 1 species